UUCGAUCUCCUCGUUCCGAUUCGCUGCCCCCUCAGUUCUCUCUCCCGCACAUCUCUUCCUCUCAAGAGCCACCGCCGCCAGCCGCUCAAUUCCCCCGUCCUCCCACAUCCCCGUUUUGGGGGCUCGCGACCUCGCCAACCCACCCACAUCGCCGCCGCCGCUGCCCCUCGGACCUCGACGCCGCGGCCCUCUCUCCUCGUCUCCCUCGCACCACGCCGCGGCCCUCCCACCCAGCCUGCCGGAUCUCCCCCGUCCACUUCCCUGGCGUCUUCGUCGUCGUCCUCGCGUGCACAAGGCAGGACGAGCGCCCCCACCCUCUCCUCUCCUCCUCUCCUCAUCACGAGCCAGGAGAACGAGGGCCACAGUGGCCGAGCAGGUCAGGCGGCGCAUCCAGAUCACCGCGGAGCCGCCCCCAGAUCCCUUCCCUCUCAAGCGGCGACCCGGAGGUGAACUACAGUGACGACGUGAACUCGGCGGUCACUGCAACGACCCAUCCACGGCAUCCCUUCCUCUCUGAAAACGGCCUAAUCACUGGAUUCAGAUGCCCAAAUUCUGGGCUGCAAACCAUCUAGAUGCUUUAGGAUUCAGAUGACCAAUGUUUUCGGCUGCAACCUUGAGAUGGUUGACAAGCAGUUUGACUCGGGGCAGAGGUCGAUGAGUGAAUCAGAGAAAGAUCAAGUUGGUGGCCUGAAGUCCCUGGAGAAAAAGGAGGAAUCAAAUGCAUGGUUGACUCAACCCAAGCCAAGUCGGCCGGACUGCAGGUACCAAACAGCGACAUACAGAGAUCUCGAUGUGGUAUUACUGUUAGUUUCAGUACGAUGAAGAUGACAUAUCCAACAUGGUAUCCUUUGCGGAUGAAGAGCAGGAGUCAAGAGGCAUGGCUGAAACGCGGGCUACAGAGACGCGAGGUUGCCGAGCUGUCCGCGGUGUCCAUCCAUCCGCGGCGCCGUCGCUGUUGUGCUCCCGUCAAGAGAUGCUCGAGCGCUGGGAGAGGAAUCCACGUCUGCUCCUGCUCGACCGCUUCUAAAUCGAGGGAGGCCUGCUUCUUCUCGCUAUGUAGGCCACUGCUCUGAUCCGACCCUGCAUCUAAUGAGCGGCCUGCAGGUUAUGACAGACCAAAAAUAUGGAAGAUUCGGAUAUUGUGCCAGCACCUGAGCUCAUUGAAGUGCUUUUCAUAACUGCGAAGGACAGGUUGAUCAUUAGGUUGAGACAUAUCUCAGGCUUAUGAUUGAUAGGCACCGUCGAGCAGAGAAGCCAUAUCUGAAAUCUCUCCUUCUACAAGUGGUUUGAUUAUGUCUCGGAUUGGAGCAGCGACACAAGUAGGGAGAGGCCGUUGCCUGGAUUGCUGCUACUCUCAUCAUCUUGGCUUGCAGGUUGCCACCGUCACACAGCCGGACAAGGAAACGCAAGGGGAGGAGGACCUGGAGCGGCCACUGCCGAGGGAGUGGCUGAUGGAGGUGGUCUGCAUAUGUCGUAUGUCGUAUGAGUCAAGGAGGUCUACCGCAAGCGGCCGAUGAUGGGCGCGCCGAGGAUGAGAUCUCCGGUGGAAAGAUGCGUCUGCGCCUGGCCAUCUCUCCAGCACGACGUGCCAACCAAUUCUCUCUUGCCCCUCCUUCCACACCGGCUCGCCGUCUCACCCACCAGAGGUGAUGAGGAUCCGCUACCAUCAUAGUUGUGAUUGUAAAACAUAAUCCAUCCAAAGCUGACUGAGAUAGACCAGCAAUCAUUACCAUCGACGAUGCCUUUUCAGGCCUAGGCGUUUGUCUGGAAAGCCGGAAAGGAAGCACUAAGGCCCAUCUCAGUUAUGAUAGCAAACAAGGUGGCUUGAAAUAAAUGGUGCACAUCUGUUCGAGGGGUAAUGUUGACGCGUAUGAGGGUUUUCAGUAUACGGCCAUCAAGCCAGAUGUUGUGGUGACAGUCAUGAGGCAACUAUACAUUUACUAUAAAGACUGGUCUAUGACAGUCCUUUUACUCGCUCUUCAUUGAAAAUUAUGAAUUAUUGUUGCAUCUACUAGGGAGACAUGCAUCUCUCCCUUCCUAAAGAAGAGAGUGCAUGUUCUAAUGCUGUCAACCUGUAGGUAUGUGCAUUUGUGUAUUUAUUCAAUGAAAAGCACCAAACAUUUGUCUUUAUGUUUGAUAAUUGGGUGUCUAAAUUGGCGGAUUAAAUACUCCGGUCCGCGACAACUAAGCUUUCUAUGGUUGGUGUACCUACAUUGCGCUUGAAACCAUUUCAUCUAUAUUGGGUUUAUUCAGUUGUAAUACCGAGUUUAUGAAACUAUCUUAUUGAAAUUAUUGCUUCCCAAGAGAAGCAUGUAUGCCACACAUUCUUU